UGGGGAAUAUUGGGCAAUGGGGGGAACCCUGACCCAGCAACGCCGCGUGGAGGAAGAAGGUUUUCGGAUCGUAAACUCCUGUCCUUGGAGACGAGUAGAAGACGGUAUCCAAGGAGGAAGCCCCGGCUAACUACGUGCCAGCAGCCGCGGUAAUACGUAGGGGGCAAGCGUUGUCCGGAAUAAUUGGGCGUAAAGGGCGCGUAGGCGGCUCGGUAAGUCUGGAGUGAAAGUCCUGCUUUUAAGGUGGGAAUUGCUUUGGAUACUGUCGGGCUUGAGUGCAGGAGAGGUUAGUGGAAUUCCCAGUGUAGCGGUGAAAUGCGUAGAGAUUGGGAGGAACACCAGUGGCGAAGGCGACUAACUGGACUGUAACUGACGCUGAGGCGCGAAAGUGUGGGGAGCAAACA
rnacentral:rRNA from 1 species